GCCACGUUAGGUCAGUUGGUAGGGCGUUAGACUUUUCACGGUCAGGGGUUCGAGUCCCCUACGGGGCC